GCCUGAAAAAGAAGAAAUGGGGCAAUGAAAAGGGCUACCGCUGGACUCUCCUUGUCACCAGUAACAAAACGUGUUCACAAAGGGUAUCUUUCCAUGUUAACCUGGGUCUUGUUCUCCAGAAAAAAGUAUACAUGAAGGUCAAGAAGACAAUUCACGGAAAAGACCUGGUUCUAGAUGCUGCGGAGAAGGGAUUAUUAAUCCUUAAGAGCUGACCUGGGCAUGAGAUCACUGGUACCCAGAAGAACUCAAAUAAUAAACAGCUUGAAUUUGC